rnacentral:lncRNA from 1 species
UGAUGACAGUUUCCCAAUAUAAUUGUCCUGAAUGUUUAAUAUUUUGACAUCUGCAUUAUUAAACCAAAUUGCUUCAUUUUCAUUCAGUGACUGCGAGUGGAGUUGCAAAUCUUGCAAAUGUCAGUGAACAGCAUGCACAUGAAACCUCCACUCCUUUGUGAUGUACAGGCACCUCCUUGGGCAGAUUAACUGUACUGUGGGCAUUGGCUGAUUCAGCACCAUGAAAACAGCUGCGCUGCUUCUUCAGCUGUCUUGGGUCUGCUAUUAGUGUUAUGGUUUUCAAACGAUAACCUGUCUGAACUAAUAAUCUGUCCAGAGCUUUACUUGGCUUCAUGAAGGAUGGGCAGACCUCAUGUCCCUUCCCAGAACAAGGAGUCCAUAGGAAAACAAGGUGCAGUGAACCAAUGGCCUCCAGACUUAGUUACUACAGUGCUCCAAAAUCUCUUCCAAAUCAUUCUCAGAAACACAGGAGUUUGAAGUGGUUUUCUGCUUUUUUCCUCCAUACUUGGACACAAGACAAUGGUGAAAUGACCUCAGAAAGCUUUAUGGAAGGGAUUAUGAGAUGUUGUCAUAGCAAAUUACCAGCUCCUGAUCAACACUGGUGUUGGCGCCUCACAAAAGCAAGAAACUCACGAGACAGGAAAAGCCUCUCCAGCAGAAGGGAGAAAGGAGACUCCCCUGCCAGAGCACUUUCCAUAGUGCAGAGAGGAUCCCCAGAGGCUGGGCUGGCUCUGUCUGUUGUCCUCUGUGAGGGUGCCACAUGGGGACACCCCAACCUCCUCUCCAUGUGCCCAGGGUGCUGGGAUUCCCUCAUGUCCUCAGGCUGGGACCUGCAGCCUCUCUCUACAGAACUGUGUCAGAAAGCUGUGGUUUUGACAGCUGGACUGACAACUGUCCUUUGGGAAGGGACUCCAAUGAGCAUGUCAAAGUUGUCAUGCAAAGGGUGACAACUGUCAGAUAACCAUUGUCACUGAUUUCUGUAGUUAUGUUUUUUACAGUUUACAUAAUAUUUUGACUGUGAAAUAUCAUCUAAUUGCAUACUUCCUAGUGGGAAAAAUUGUUAUUUUUUCUCAUUUUUAUUCCGCGUGCUAGAAUGUUUUUCCCAUAGUCUUUUCUUACACCUCCAAGCCUUGCUGUAGUAAUUUAAUAAUUGAUUAACAAGCACUGAAAACAGUAGAACAAUUUAUUCCAACUGUGACAUCCACAUUAGGGGGCUUACUUUGGGGGCAGAUUUUGCUUUCCCAUUUAGAGUUGUAAACUCAGUUUUUCGGUUGCAAAAUAGACCUUUUAGAGCAGCCCCCAUACUGUCUAGCAAACUUCUGAAAUAAAGCUGCAAGUCUUUUAAAAAUCUGUUUUGUC